rnacentral:rRNA from 18 species
GUUAAGUGACGAAGCGUAUACGGUGGAUGCCUUGGCAGUUAGAGGCGAUGAAGGACGUGUAAGUCUGCGAAAAGCGUUGGUGAGCUGACAAAAAGCGUU